AUAUCUUUGGCGCGAAUAAUAACUUUUAGAAAAUAUAACUUGUUAUACAGUAAACUUACCGAAACUAUGUGGGAAAAUUUUUUAUUAUUAUUCACUAUUAUCAUUGAUUUAUAAUCACUGGGCUUAUUAACCCAACCUGUUACUACAAAUUUUACACCUUUCACCAAUUGUGACCUAAUUGGUUUUAAUUUAAGGUUAAUAGCCCACUAAACCAUUUUCACUUAUUUAUUAAUACUGGUGGUAUUGUAAGUCAUUUCAAUCAAUUUUUGUUCCAUACUGGAAGAGAGAAAAAUUUGAAACGCGUUUGUAAGCUUUUAGAAAAUGAUGAGCAGUCCCAGAAUUAUUCAGAGGUUUUGGAGCGAGCAGUUACUUGAUAUAUCAAACAAUGGCAGCGGAACGCAUUCUCAACAACAGAUUGCAGAAGGAAACAGGCACAGAUCCCAGACAGCGCAGUUGGGAUAAUACCCUAAGUGCUUUUGGAAAUGUUUUCAAGGAUAUUGGUGAUAACUUAAUGUGAAUGGAGAAGAUGCUGAAGACUUGUCCACUUCUGCUGGAGAUUUUAUUGGAGAUGGAGAGAAACAUAUUUCAGGAAGAUGUGAAUGUGAGAAAGUUGAACUGCUGACUGGAGGUGAUGUGAUGUGACUUAUUUCUGAAUCGUUAUCUUCUGAUAGAGAAAAGGGAAUCGCGGGUUCUUCAUUAGAUGACAAAAGUGUUAAAGCUUUUGUAGUUCUUAAAUGAUUUACUUCUUCGGUAUGUAACAGACUCUUAUUUAAUAACAACUGUCCUUGAACAUCAUUUUCUUCGCAUGAACACAAUAAAUUUAAAUCUGGUGUUGACAGCUCA